rnacentral:rRNA from 1 species
UCUUGACAUCCCGGAGACCUUAGGAACUAGGGGUGCUUCCAUCUGGAAGAAUCUGGAGACAGGUGCUGCAUGGCUGUCGUCAGCUCGUGUCGUGAGAUGUUGGGUUAAGUCCCGCAACGAGCGCAACCCUUGCCUUUAGUUGCCAGCAGUUCGGCUGGGCACUCUAAAGGGACUGCCGGUGUUAAACCGGAGGAAGGUGGGGAUGACGUCAAGUCCUCAUGGCCUUUAUGACCAGGGCUACACACGUACUACAAUGGCCGAUACAAAGGGCAGCGACACUGCGAGGUGAAGCCAAUCCCGUAAAAUCGGUCUCAGUCCGGAUUGGAGUCUGCAACUCGACUCCAUGAAGUUGGAAUCGCUAGUAAUCGUGGAUCAGCAUGCCACGGUGAAUACGUUCCCGGGCCUU